CUUGAAAUACAAACAUAAAUGAGUGUCCACAGCUCAUCGCAUGCGAUUCUCCUCAAAAUCAAUAAUAUCAAAUACACACUGUCAAUAACAAAUAUUAGAAGAAUACCGUGCUAAUUAAAUAUUCAUAUUAUAAUUUAUUUUAUCUAUAACUGGAUAUAAAAAAUCUCUCUCUAAGCUCGUACAACAUGACGUCAAUCGAAAAGCAUCACGGGGG
rnacentral:lncRNA from 1 species